AGUGAACCUGCGGAAGGAUCAUU
rnacentral:rRNA from 1 species